UACGGAGGGUGCGAGCGUUAAUCGGAAUUACUGGGCGUAAAGCGCACGCAGGCGGUCAAUUAAGUCAGAUGUGAAAGCCCCGGGCUGAACCUGGGAACUGCAUCUGAAACUGGUUAGCUUGAGUCUUGUAGAGGGGGGUAGAAUUCCAGGUGUAGCGGUGAAAUGCGUAGAGAUCUGGAGGAAUACCGGUGGCGAAGGCGGCCCCCUGGACAAAGACUGACGCUCAGGUGCGAAAGCGUGGGGAGCAAACAGG
rnacentral:rRNA from 1 species